UGGCUAAGGUUAUAAGUGAAACUAUCAUAAUUAUCUAUGAGCGUCAUGGGAUUGUUUAUGUUGACAAUGAGAAAUCGCCUAGCAUAAUGUUGGAAAAAAAUCUAGGUUUCCUUUAAUCGCACAUCACAUACGGUAACAUCAUUUACAAAUAGGAAGUACAUCGCCCUAUUGAGAUAAUGGGUAUUCUAAGGCGACAAUGAGGAUCUUCGUCGAGUUGAUGAGUUCUGAGGCGAUGAAGAAGGUACCAUCAUCAAUCUGCAAGAUGAAGUACCUUCAGUUCCCAUUGAAUUGAAUCGUUCUAUGGAAGUCGUAUGCAAUACUGAAUUGGAGCAUCUUAAGGACCUGACUAUUAUUAUGCAAGAGUUAGAAAUCACCUAUAAUCCAGCAAAAUCAAUGUAAAUUAUACCCCAUAAAUGUAAAAUUGUUCAAGUUUGAAGGGAACAAAAGAAU
rnacentral:lncRNA from 1 species